rnacentral:lncRNA from 1 species
CGACGAGGAGGGCGGGGCGGGGCGCGCUGCCGGCCCACAGCGGGCGCCUCAGGCGCCGGACCCCACGUCCUGAGCCCCGUCCCUCACGCUCUGGACCGCAUACCAGAUCCCUGACCUCAGACCUGGGUCCCAGAUUCUAGAUCCUUUACCUCAGACGCCAGGUCCCAGAUUCUAGAUCCUUCACCUCGGACCCCAGGUCCCAGAUUCUAGAUCCUUCACCUCGGACCCCAGGUCCCAGAUUCUAGAUCCUUCACCUCAGACCCUAGGUCCAAGAUUCUAGAUUCUUCACCUCAGACCCUGGGUCCCAGAUUCUAGAUCCUUCACCUCAGACCCCAGGUCUAAGAUUCUAGAUCCUUUACCUCAGACCCGGGUCCCAGAUUCUAGAUCCUUUACCUCAGAUCCUAGGACCCAGAUUGACCCAGAUUCUAGAUCCUUUACCUCAGGCCAGGGUCCAAGAUUCUAGAUCCUUUACCUCAGACCCCAGGACCCAGAUUCUAGAUCCUUUACCUCAGACCCCAGGACCCAGAUUCUAGAUCCUUUACCUCAGACCCCAGGACCCAGAUUCUAGAUCCUUUACCUCAGACCCCAGAACCCAGAUUCUAGAUCCUUUUCCUCAGACCCCCUCCAGCCCCAGAUUCUACAUCCUUGACCUCAGACCCCGGCCCCAGAUUCUAGAUCCUUUCCUUCAGACCCUGGGUCCCAGAUUCUAGAUCCCGUAUCUCAGACCUCAGAUCUCACACUCAGACUCGGAUCCAGAAUCCUGGGCCCCAGAUCCCAGACCUCAGACCUCGGACCCCAGAUCCUAGAUCCUAGACCUCAUACUUCAGAUACUAGGCCCCAGACCCCGGAACUGGGGCCCCAGACCUCAGACCUCAGAGCCCCGACCUCAGAUCCCAGGUCAGCAGCCUCCGCUCCUACAUCUUCAGACCCAGGGGUCCCAUCCCUUUGAUCUCAGACUCUGAACCCCGGGGCCUGGACCCCAGACUGCAGACCUUAUAUCCCAGACCUUAGGCCUCAGACCCCGGGCUCCAGAUCCCAGAACCCAGACCUCAGGCCCCAACCCCACACACUGAAGCCCAGUCUCUGGAUCGUCGAUCUCCAUCUCUGACCCAGAACCCCAAGUCCCCAGUCCAGACCCCAUCCCAGACCUUGGACGCUGCACUCAAGGGUCCACACCUGGGAUCCCAGACCCCAGCCCCCAGCCCCGGGGGCUCUGUCUGCCCGGCGGAGGGCACCCCACUGUGCACAGGGGCGAACUCAGGCCCAGGGAGCUGCCACUGAGUGGGAGAGGCGCUCUGGGCAUUCAAGACUCAACAGACACACGGCGACCCCCGGGGCCAGGGUGCAGCCACAGGCCCAGGGCCCCCCCACCCCGCCAGCUCCACGCCUUGCAGCCGCUGCUCACAGGGCGCUCCCCCUGGCCCCGGGCCCACCGCCUCCACCCUUUGGGGAGAGAGAUUCACCCCAGUAAACAAGCCUGACACUUACACCCACCGCCAAGGGCUCCCCGAACCUGGCGAUAAGCUUUUUCCCAAAGCUUUACUUUUUUCACUCUAAGAAUAACAAUACAUGAAAAAUAAAGGAACUUGGAAAUGCCAGAAAAAUAUGGGAAAAGAACACGAAUGUCAUCUAUCGUCUUAUUGUCCCAAAAUAAGUAGUGUUAACACUUCGGUGUAUUUCUUUAUUGUUUUUUUUUUUUUUCCUUGUUUUUCACAAAGAGUGGGAGCUUUUUAUAUAGCUGGGGUCACCCUGAAUGCCCACCAUUUGGUAAGGAGAUGGCAGCCUUUAGGGUGGGGAUGCUGAAAAGUGGUUCCUCCGAAUAAAAUCAGGCACGGCAAUUAUUGCACACAAAUUUGAGGCGGAAAACUGCUUAAAGGCUACUUCACUGGUCAGGUAGUCCAUACAGGGGUCCUCAGCAAGUACCGCCUGCCUGCGGGCCAGACUCGGCCCUCCAGCCGGUGUUGUAAAUAAAGUUUUAUUGGCACGCAGGCACGCCCACUCAUUUGCAUAGUGUCUC